ensembl:lncRNA
CCCGGCUGCUGUAGUUCCAGCAGCAAGAAGCCACUGGGAGGAGGGGGGGCCCCCAUCUGAUCCCCCCUCAAGUUCACCAAGUUAAGUCACUGUGGUUCUGAGGCCACAGCUUGGGGAAGAAAAGCGAAAGCCUGUCGUAAAUUCUGCAAAAAUUAAUCAACCGUUUAAGAGCUGCACGUUAACGAGGUUCUGCAGGCAAGCUGGGCCCUUCUGUUCCCCUGUCCAAAGUCCCACAGAGUGAGGGGUGGCCCCCACUCCGAGCAGGGAAGGGGCGGUGGUGGUUGUUGUUGUUGUUGUUGUUUUUAAUCACAAUCAUUGAGGACAGCUAGGGAGAGGGCAGUGGGAGAUGGAUUCAUUGAAUAUAAAUCCUCAGGUGCCCUUGUUCCAUGUUGCUGGAUUUUUUUCCCCCUUUUGGUCUGGAUCUGUCCUGCGUGUCUUUGGUGGAAAAGACAUGUAGUGAAAGAGAGCAAAGGGGUGGGGGUAAGGAGAGAGAAGGAGAGAGAGAGAGAGAGAGACACGCGUAGCUCCUUCGGAACUCAUUAUCAUUCUUAAUAAGUCUUAAGGAAUAAAGAAGAGCACUGAGUGUAAAUGCUGGGUAAUCCUAACACUUCUCAAGGUGAGAGGAAUCUUGAGGACACAGAGAAAAGAGAGAGCAGAGGAGGGGGGUGUGUGGGUCCAGAGGCCCUGGGGAGUGGAGGCCCAGGGUUUGGGAGGCUCUGUGGGAGGCGUGGAGGUUGGGGUGGGGAAGCCCAAGAUGUCCCAGGUGGGAUGGGUUAUCUGCUGACACACAGGAGGUCUCCGAGACAGGGUGACUUGCUAACGUCAAAGCAAGGUGAUGGCACAGCACUGGGGUGUGGCCAGGGGCCACAAGGCCUUUGCUUCCUCCUGGGUACGGUAUCCCCAGCCUCUUGGCCUCAGGCUCCUGGGAAAGACCAGGGUGGCAGGUGGAGGGGGCUUGUCCUGCUCCAAGCCUCCCCUUGCUGUCCCCUCCAAUUCCCCUGCAGUGACUGCUCUGAGAAUCCCGAGGGCCCAGGCGGCGGCCAGAGCUCAGCUCUGGACACUAGGUGGCUUAGAGGAUCUGCGAGGUUCUCAGCAGCAGCGACAGCGGGCUUCCCUCUCCGCCCUGCUGGUGGGCUCCACGGUGCGUCUGCAUCUGCUCUGCCGCCUCAGCGGGCAUCCCUGGCGGGCAAGCAGGGCCUGGCUCCCAGGCAAAGUGAUGAUGAGGCCGGCAGCAGCUUCCAAGGGGGAGGACAGCCAGCUGGGAACACUCACAGCAGAGACCAGGGUAAUGGCCAAAUUGCAUGCCCUGCGUGUGCCUUGCUGAUGAGAUUUACUGAAAGGAAGCAGCGCUGCCUCUCUGCUGCUGGUGUCUGGGUAGGUGAGCCCGUGUGUGUGUGUGUGUGUGUGUGUGUGUGUGUGAACGCUCAAGCCCGUGUGUGAGAGCGUGCACGUGUGUAAAUGAGAAGCAGGGGUGCGGGAAUGUGCGCCGCUGGGCUGGCACCUUCCCCAGCACUAAUUGCUGGCAGAGUACCCACAGGGGCUGUGCCAGCGUCCCCAGCUCUGCCCACCCCCCUUGCCCCUGGGAACUCAGCUGUACAGCUUGCUUUGUGAGGGCCAUUUCUGAGCCCACUCGUCCUGGGGCUCCUUUGGGAAUUUCAGGGAAAUCUGAUCCUUGGGGAGACCGGGGGUCAUGUGCCUGUGUAUCUGGCUGGGGACCAGACGAGACAUGGGUGGUCGUGCGCUUGGAGAGAUCUGAAUGCCCACACCCCUGCCAUUGUGCUUCCGAUCUCUGUGCCUGCUCAGGGUCCUAUGAGGUGUGGCCAGGGUGGGGGUGGGUAGCAGCGGACCCUGCUCCAGUGCUGGCCCUGCUGUGAAUCACUCUAUGGCCUUGAGCAAGUCAUUUGACCUCUCUGGGCCUCAGUUUCCUCUGUUGUCCAAUGGCCUCUGAUCCUGUGGCCCUCAUAAGGUUGUUCUGACCGUCAGCUGGGCUUGUAGCUAUGCGAAUCCUCUGAAAGUAAUUAAAUGUAAUGAAGAAUUUAUCAUGGUCACGUUGUCAAGAGGAGGGUGUCCCCGAUGUCAGAUGAGCCGGUUUUAUGUAAUAUGGUAUUUGUCUCGAAGGGGACCCCUGUGAAUUCCAUUCCAGAGAGCCAGGCCCGGGACACAGUAUGUGCUGCUGGGGUUGCGUUUUUAUAUCAAGUUAUGGGCUGGCUCUCUCAUCACUGGAGCUUGGAGAUGAGCUGAGGGUUGCUUUUUCAGCAGAACGGGGGGCCCCAUUCAGGAUGUAGGGUGUGCCUUGCUGCUUUAGCCUUGGAGCCCACAGAUUCAUCGAGGAGCUGUAUAUAUUUUAUAUUUGCCUUUCAGAUCCAGAGAUCUGGGGGUCCAAGUCAUGUGACCUUGCGUCAGUUACUUACUAGGCUGUGGCUCGGUGUUUCUCAUCUGUGAAACGGGAAGCACUUGGUCUCUACAUAUCCGGGGAGCCAGGACUGCCUUAGGCACACAGACCUCACUGACUGAAGGCAAAGACACUUCCAUCCCACCUGCCCUUCCAGCUGCCCCGGCCACGGAUCCCUCCUUCACAAGGGAGUCUUGCAGCUCCCCAGUGCCACACAUUGGAAUGGACUUCGGACCCUGGCCUCUUGGGAUGCAAAGGGACAUGUUGAGUCUCUACAAUCCUGUCAUGGACACCUGUCUUGCCAGCCACAGACUGGGCCUAUGUCUACCUGGCACCAAAGGGGACGGGGUCGGUGCUCUUCUGUUCUCCACUGUACCAGCAUCUUGCGACUGAGGCUUUCCCAUCUUCCUGACCCAGAAGACCUAAGCUGCAACAUUCCCUUCAUCAUUUGGAUCUUGGAUUCAAAUAUCACCUCCUCGAGGUACCUAGAGCAGCCCCCUGGCUCCUUGGUCACUAUCACUUGCCUUGUUUUGUUGUCGUCCUAGAACUCCUUAGUUG